ACUGCACACGAUCAAAGCUCAGGGUGGAGGCCAGUCCUGGCCAGUGAGCUUCUGAGUGUCUGAAGUGUGCUACAUUAAUAGCACGGUGUUCGCUAGCACCAGCAGAGCCUCUCUCUGUGACUAGAGUUUAAUAGUGCUCUCUGCCACAUUU